rnacentral:rRNA from 1 species
CAGUCGCCGCGGUAAUACAGAGGGUGCGAGCGUUAAUCGGAUUUACUGGGCGUAAAGCGUGCGUAGGCGGCUUUUUAAGUCGGAUGUGAAAUCCCUGAGCUUAACUUAGGAAUUGCAUUCGAUACUGGGAAGCUAGAGUAUGGGAGAGGAUGGUAGAAUUCCAGGUGUAGCGGUGAAAUGCGUAGAGAUCUGGAGGAAUACCGAUGGCGAAGGCAGCCAUCUGGCAUAAUACUGACGCUGAGGUACGAAAGCAUGGGGAGCAAACAGGAUUAGAUACCCGAGUAGUCCCUGUCUCUUAUAC